rnacentral:rRNA from 1 species
GGUUAAGCGACUAAGCGUACACGGUGGAUGCCCUGGCAGUCAGAGGCGAUGAAGGACGUGCUAAUCUGCGAUAAGCGUCGGUGAGGUGAUAUGAACCGUUAUAACCGGCGAUUUCCGAAUGGGGAAACCCAGUGUGUUUCGACACACUAUCAUUAACUGAAUCCAUAGGUUAAUGAGGCGAACCGGGGGAACUGAAACAUCUAAGUACCCCGAGGAAAAGAAAUCAACCGAGAUUCCCCCAGUAGCGGCGAGCGAACGGGGAGGAGCCCAGAGCCUGAAUCAGUGUGUGUGUUAGUGGAAGCGUCUGGAAAGGCGCGCGAUACAGGGUGACAGCCCCGUACACAAAAAUGCACAUAUUGUGAGCUCGAUGAGUAGGGCGGGACACGUGGUAUCCUGUCUGAAUAUGGGGGGACCAUCCUCCAAGGCUAAAUACUCCUGACUGACCGAUAGUGAACCAGUACCGUGAGGGAAAGGCGAAAAGAACCCCGGCGAGGGGAGUGAAAAAGAACCUGAAACCGUGUACGUACAAGCAGUGGGAGCCUCUUAAUGGGGUGACUGCGUACCUUUUGUAUAAUGGGUCAGCGACUUAUAUUCUGUAGCAAGGUUAACCGAAUAGGGGAGCCGAAGGGAAACCGAGUCUUAACUGGGCGUUAAGUUGCAGGGUAUAGACCCGAAACCCGGUGAUCUAGCCAUGGGCAGGUUGAAGGUUGGGUAACACUAACUGGAGGACCGAACCGACUAAUGUUGAAAAAUUAGCGGAUGACUUGUGGCUGGGGGUGAAAGGCCAAUCAAACCGGGAGAUAGCUGGUUCUCCCCGAAAGCUAUUUAGGUAGCGCCUCGUGAAUUCAUCUCCGGGGGUAGAGCACUGUUUCGGCAAGGGGGUCAUCCCGACUUACCAACCCGAUGCAAACUGCGAAUACCGGAGAAUGUUAUCACGGGAGACACACGGCGGGUGCUAACGUCCGUCGUGAAGAGGGAAACAACCCAGACCGCCAGCUAAGGUCCCAAAGUCAUGGUUAAGUGGGAAACGAUGUGGGAAGGCCCAGACAGCCAGGAUGUUGGCUUAGAAGCAGCCAUCAUUUAAAGAAAGCGUAAUAGCUCACUGGUCGAGUCGGCCUGCGCGGAAGAUGUAACGGGGCUAAACCAUGCACCGAAGCUGCG